rnacentral:rRNA from 1 species
UAACACAGGUGCUGCAUGGCUGUCGUCAGCUCGUGUCGUGAGAUGUUGGGUUAAGUCCCGCAACGAGCGCAACCCUUGCCAUUAAUUGCCAUCAUUUAGUUGGGCACUUUAAUGGGACUGCCGGUGACAAACCGGAGGAAGGUGGGGAUGACGUCAAGUCCUCAUGGCCCUUAUGGCCAGGGCUUCACACGUAAUACAAUGGUCGGUACAGAGGGUUGCCAAGCCGCGAGGUGGAGCCAAUCCCAGAAAGCCGAUCGUAGUCCGGAUUGCAGUCUGCAACUCGACUGCAUGAAGUCGGAAUCGCUAGUAAUCGCGGAUCAGCAUGUCGCGGUGAAUACGUUCCCGGGUCUU